rnacentral:rRNA from 1 species
CCUACGGGAGGCAGCAGUAGGGAAUAUUGGGCAAUGGACGCAAGUCUGACCCAGCCAUGCCGCGUGCAGGAUGAAGGCGUUAUGCGUUGUAAACUGCUUUUAUACAGGAAGAAACGACUCUUGCGAGAGGCAUUGACGGUACUGUAUGAAUAAGCACCGGCUAACUCCGUGCCAGCAGCCGCGGUAAUACGGAGGGUGCAAGCGUUGUCCGGAUUUAUUGGGUUUAAAGGGUGCGCAGGUGGUUUAUUAAGUCAGUGGUGAAAGACGGUCGCUCAACGAUUGCAGUGCCAUUGAAACUGGUAGACUUGAGUAAAGUAGAGGUGGGCGGAAUUGAUAGUGUAGCGGUGAAAUGCAUAGAUAUUAUCAAGAACUCCAAUUGCGUAGGCAGCGCACUUGGCUUUUACUGACACUCAUGCACGAAAGUGUGGGUAUCAAACAGGAUUAGAUACCCUGGUAGUCCACACUGUAAACGAUGAUAACUAGGUGUCGGCCGAAUCUGGUCGGUGCCACAGCGAAAGCGUUAAGUUAUCCACCUGGGGAGUACGCCGGCAACGGUGAAACUCAAAGGAAUUGACGG